rnacentral:rRNA from 1 species
AGAGUUUGAUCAUGGCUCAGAAUCAACGCUGGCGGCGUGCCUAACACAUGCAAGUCGCACGAGAAAGAGGGGGCAACUCCUUGAGUAAAGUGGCGUACGGGUGAGUAACACGUGACUAACCUACCCUCGAGUGGGGAAUAACACCGGGAAACCGGUGCUAAUACCGCAUAACAUCUACGGAUCAAAGCAGUAAUGCGCUUGAGGAGGGGGUCGCGGCUGAUUAGCUAGUUGGUGAGGUAAUGGCUCACCAAGGCGACGAUCAGUAUCCGGCCUGAGAGGGCGCACGGACACACUGGAACUGAAACACGGUCCAGACUCCUACGGGAGGCAGCAGUGGGGAAUUUUGCGCAAUGGGGGAAACCCUGACGCAGCAACGCCGCGUGGAGGAUGAAGGUCUUUGGAUUGUAAACUCCUUUCGAUCGGGACGAUUAUGACGGUACCGGAAGAAGAAGCACCGGCUAACUCUGUGCCAGCAGCCGCGGUAAUACAGAGGGUGCAAGCGUUGUUCGGAAUUAUUGGGCGUAAAGGGCGCGUAGGCGGUGCGGUAAGUCCGCAGUGAAAUCUCUGGGCUCAACUCAGAGCCUGCUGUGGAAACUGCCGUGCUUUGAGUGUGGGAGAGGUGAGUGGAAUUCCCGGUGUAGCGGUGAAAUGCGUAGAUAUCGGGAGGAACCCUGUGGCGAAAGCGGCUCACUGGACCACAACUGACGCUGAGGCGCGAAAGCUAGGGGAGCAAACAGGAUUAGAUACCCCCGUAGUCC